rnacentral:tRNA from 3 species
UGCCUCGUGGUGUAACGGUAGCACGAGAGAUUCUGGAUCUCUUUGUCAAGGUUCGAAUCCUUGCGAGGCAGCCA